rnacentral:lncRNA from 1 species
AAGGAGCUGAUGUACUGAGAAGGCUUGGCCAGUGGCAUGUUUUGGUGCUAAUACUCUCACUAAAUUCCCCUGCCUCUUUUUUUAAAAACAUGUGUGUCAACAUUUAGCUUCUUUUGCAUCAAGGCUUUGAUUCAGUAUUUUGACUUCUCUUUUUACCCUUUUUUCUGAAUUGGCCUGGUUUGGUUCAAGCCUCAGAUAAACCUGCUGUAGGCCAAGUCAGGAGGAAGACUGUGUGGUUGAAUUAGGUACAGUGGAGUUGUCUACGAUCUCAAGACUUGACUUCAGAAUGCAUGUGCGUAUGUGUGUUUAUGUGACCCAAUUCCUGACAGAAAAAUCAUAAAUGAACACCUUUAAUAAAGCGGACCACAAGAAGAUUUUUCAAAGUUCUAGGAUCUAGAGCCCUAAAACUCUGGCCUAUGAACUGUUUUAGUUAGUAAGACUCCAUUUAGGGGAAACGUUUGAGCUCUUAUAUCACAGUAUGUACUCUGCCAACAAAGGAGUGACUCUGAGUGAUGAGUCUGUUCAAGGUGGUCUGUUAGUGAGUGUACGUUGAUUGGUUGUACACAAGAGCCAAUUCAAUACCACCGACUGCCAUGUUUUAAUAGUCUUUUGAACAUUGGUUAAACAACAGCAAAUACUGGUAACAGUCAGUUCUGUUACAAGUCAGUGUGUCUCCAGGAUUAAAGCUCAGUUCUGUAGCCACACAAAACUAUAUCAAGAUUUCUCCAUCAAGAUCUCGCCCCAUGCAGCCUGAACUCCAUCUCUUCCAACUCAGCAUUCUCCACCACACUCUCCAACGGUCCCUACCUCUCUUUCUCUCUCUUUAUAUGAGCUGCUCUCUCCUCUGUGAGCUGCCUGCGCUGUCUUUCUAGUGUCUCCUUCAGACUGCUGCUUUGCAUGCUCAGCGACAGCCGAUCGAUACCCUGCCCUCUGUGUCUCUGUGAGCCGGGCGUCAGUGCUGAAAUAACAGCCGCUCGGCCUGUUUGUAUAGAGCAGUCUUUCAGCUCGUCCAGGGUGCUCAGGAAACUCGAUGCAAAACAAUCAUUUACAACAACACAGUCAGCCGGGAGCAGCCGGGUGGUGGAGCUUGUUCAUGUAGGAGAAUGGAGGUUUGACUGAUGUUAAUGUGGCCUUUAAAAGACAACAGGGGUAUGUUUGAUUAUUAGGAUUGAUAAUUCCAGCGUGGAGAUCUUUGUGAUAAAAGAAAACUGUGCAUAUAGCAGCUGGUAAACAUGCCAAGACCCUCCUGGGACUGGCAAGAGUCCACAGGGAUGUCCUCAGUGUUCCAGCACUUAUUCUGUUAAUACAACAACAUACUUCUGAUAAUUCAGCCCAGAUGCCAGAGCUCCAAACGCAGGUGCUCAGUGGGCUGGUGUUAAUUGCUGCUAAUUGGUGUAGCAACACAUCAAGGCAUACGUGGUGUGUGUGUGUUUUACGGUGAAAACGCGGGGGAUUUAUAGUGUUUCUGUGGAGAUUGUAUAGGAUUAUCUAGCAGCUCUGUGUCCUGAUAUGAUGGACAAAAGAAUGGACUGUUUGAAGCUUAAAUCUUUAUUGCAUUUGCAGACAAAAGGGAUAUGUGUUAAAACAAAGCGUGCACAAUGGUUCUCUACGUGAAAAAAUAAAUAAAUGAAUAAAAAUGCAAAAAAGACGGGAUAAGCUGCCACCUCAGCUUUACCCAGACUUUAUCUUUCCAGUGCAUUGAUCAAACAUCUUCAGAAACUCUAAGUGAGAAUACAAACAGUUCCCGAAAGUUCCCCGUAAGUGAGCAAGCACGGUGAGAUUUAUAUUGUACUGGUGUCAAAGUAACAAGUUGCAUCCCAGCUUAAAGAUUGAGAAAACAGUUUUAAGUCAGUGAAAAUGGAAGUUUACAAAAAUACUUUCCAAGGUGCAGAUUUUUGAAAACACCAAACACAAAAUGAUGACUUCAAAAGUUUUGGGAAACGCUAACUUGCUUGGAUAUGGCAAUUGUUGUUGACAUUGUGCAUGCCUCAAGAUGAUGGGCUGCUGGCUUGUUUAGGUCUGCUCAAUACUGUUAGGUUUAGAUGGAUGUUUACAAAGAAACCUUGGUGUUAAUCAUUAUACUGCAGCACGGGGGGUAAAUAGAUACAUCAAAGAAGCUUCUGGCUCACCAACAUGCUGAAGGAGAAGCAAGUGCAAAAUGCUCUUCUCUGGUGUCUUAAUGUGACAGACUGGUUAGACAGACACUUUGGACCAUUUCUGCAUUGUUGAACAUGCACUUGCUACUCUAUUAGCUACACCUACUUGACUGAAUAUCUGAUCAGCCAAUCACAUGGCAGCAACUUGGUGCAUUUAGGCAUGUAGACAUCAUCAAGAUGGUCUGCUGAAGUUCAAACCCAGGAUCAGAAUGAGGCAGAAAGGUGAAUUUAAAUGAGACAUGGUUGUUGGUGCCAGACAGGAUGGUUUGAGACCUGCGUGAAGCUGGCCCCCCACCCCACGCAAAAUUUCGGGAAAACAGUCUGUUUUGUUUGUGCUGGUUUGUGUCGUAAAAAAUUUUGAUCCAGAGGUCACCCAGCACCCCAUUUGUUCCGAAUGGACCUGAAAUGGUGCUGUUUGUUAGUGCUUUGUUUUUGCUGGCUUGUGCUGUAAAAUUUUUGUUUGUGCUGCUACGGUUAUUAAGUUAUUACACACCUAACUUUUUGGUGAUGACGUCACCCAUCCUCCCAUUUGCCCUAAAUAACUUAAAAACCAUCACAGCACAAACGAAAAACGAAAUUUUGCGUGGGUUUGGGGGCUAGCUUCAUGCAGAUUGGUUUGAGUGUUCCAGAGACAGCUGAUCUACUGGGAUUUUUUUAUGCAUAACCGUCUCAGGAGUUUAUUGGGGAGAUUAUUACAAAUAUCCAGUGACCAGCAGUUUUCUGGGUGAAAAUGCCGUGUUGAUGUCAGAGGAGAAUGGCUCUGAUACCUCAUCUGUCAAUACUAAGGUAAAAAGUUUGGAAAGACGUUGUCCGGACAUUCAGAUUGUAGAGUCAGACUGUGGUGUAGCAUGGAUCCAUCCUGCUGCUGCUGGUGUAAUGGUGUGAGGGUGUUUACUUUGCACACUUUCCAAGCCCCUGUGGUUAGUAUUGUUGAAACACCCCAGCCUACCUGAGUGUUGUUGCUGACAGUGUCUGUCCUUUGAUGACCAGUGAACCCAUCUUUUGCCAUUUACUUCACAAGAUAACGUACAGUGCUCAGCAUAAAUGAGUACAGAGUUGUCAGAAAUCCUUUUAUUUUCCUUUCAAAAUCAACAUUUUCUGUGACAGAAUAUGUAACAAAUACUCCCCCAAAUUUAGGCCAUUGACUGCAAACAAGAUUAAUUGGGAUCUGGGAGCAAAGCUAAAUUUUAGUUACCAUAUCACUCUUAUUUUCAUCUUAUGGCAAAUAAAAUGUUAUAUUAAACUCAGCUUUGUCAAAACUUUGGAAAUUGUACUUUUGCUCAUCUAGAUAUUGAGUAAUACAUUACUUCUGAUAUGGGGUGUACUGACUUAUGCUGGGCACUGUGCAUGCCAGCGGGUACACUGUGCAGGUGAAAGCACGUCAGUCUCUGCUAAGAUAGUGAAUGGACCUUCCUAAAGCUUGUCAUGAAUAGGUCAUCUCCCAGUUCACCAAAAUGACAAUAUGUUGAACAAUUAAACUCGGUCACUCUUACAGCUCUGUACCAUUUGUUCCUCCGUUAUUAUGGCUUUAUUAAUUUUUGCAUCCCUUCUUCAGUGGAGGUUUUGUUUACUACUCAGUUUCCAGGCAACGCACUCACGCCAUUAAACUGGCACCUGCUGUACAAACACUGGAGAGGACACUCGGGCUAGUUUCAUGGUCUCCUAACAUCUGCUCAUAUAAAAAUCGGACAUGUUGCACUUCCUUAUCCAAUAUUAGACUCCAGCCUCUAAAACUUUACCAAAGAAAUGCUUCCAGUGUUUGAUGUGUUUUCCGUUUUGUCAUUCUUUUGUUCAAUACUGUCCAAAUUUUCAGUAGAUUUGUUUUCAUAUCAGUUUUCGUCCUCUGCUGUAAUCCUGCUUUCAAUGCAUCCGUCCACAGAGGGACAGAGGAGAUGCAUCUAAUCCUUUUGUUGUUGUAUUGAAUCAACAAUAAAAAACUGGAGAUAUUCACAGUGUGAUACAGACAGAAUCUAAAGUCAGACUGAGAUGGGCAGUGCUCAAGACAUAAAUCCAACUUCAUACACACUCUUUCUUUGAUCUUGAUGAUAACCAUUGUAUCUGCACCCUUCAUGAUUAUUUCCGCUACCUACAGCCUUCUCUAGCUCUCCUGGCUUGUCUGGCUACAGGCCUGGGCGUCUGGCUGCAGCACACAACUUCUUUAAAGAGCUUGAAGGGGUCUUGGAGACGGAGCUAGGCAGCGGCAACAGAGGAAAAGAAGAGGAGAGGGUAGAGGCAGAGAUAGAGGAGUGGGAGGAGGAGGAGGGGUGCCAGACAAGAUGAAAGAAACAGCUGUAUACAAAUGACAGGCUUCCAUACUCCUCCACCACCAGCAGCAGCAGCACCACCACCCGUCUUCCCCCCACCUGCGGUGAUGUUGCCCUGUGCGGUCAUCGAACAGCUUCAAAGAGCCAGGCAGGCGAGACGAGGCGAGGCAAGGCGAGCGGGCCGAAUCCUCAAAGAGACAGCCUCCCUCUCCUCCUCCUCCUCCACUAACACCACGGCCUCCGACACACACGCACAAUCUGCCUCGUCCACACCACACACCCUUCUCACCCCCCGACGCAUGUAAGAGUCAGGAAAAGAAAUAGAAGAGGAGGAGAGGGAGGGGUUGGUGUUUCUUUAUCAGAGUCGUAUACUCAGAAGGAGUGACAAGCUCUGUGGUGAGCAGAGACCAACAAGUGAGCACGGUCCGAGUUUUUUUUCCUCCUUAAAUUUUCAGAUUUUAUGAAAAUGGACAUUUUUUUCAGUAAUGAUGCAGUCUGAUUUAUUAAAACGUGCAUGAAAAACCUUUUUUAAGCAUUUCAUAUAUAUAAAAAAACUGUUCCAAUUUUUACUUCAAUAGUUUGUCAAACCAAGCUUUGGGGUUUGGUUAUUUUAGGCCAACCUUGGGUUCUCAUUGAAACACUUAAAUCUUGCUCCAAGACUUAUUUUGUCGCAGUGUGGCAGCUAAAGCAAAAAUGAAAUCCCUUCAAUGGCAUAUUAAUCUCUCAAUCCAGGAUUCACAAACCAGGGUACAUGUGUAACUGGUAGAAAGUGUGUGUCACUCCGUGGUAUACAAUAACCUUAUUGAAAAGCUAAACGGUUACCUACAAGUUGCCACUGCACCUAUUUUAAGACCAAAAAGUGUAUAUUUGUAAUUUACCAUUUUAUACAUUGGAAUAAUACUUUUUUUUUCACACAAAGAAGUUCACAAUGUGAAAGUUAGGAAUCAAACUCUACUUGGUGAUUGCAGCAGGAUUAGCCACUGAUCUGAUAAAUGCAAAGUCAGUCUAAAGUCUCUGUUAUUAUUGUUAUUAUUGAAGCAAAGCAUCUCAGCUGUACUUUUUAGGCUGUCUCAGUGCUUGAGGUUUCAGAGUAAAUGACUAAAUGACAACCACUCCGCUAUCAAAUACUUGCACUUAUUCAUCAUAAAAUAUGAAUUUCUUGUUGUAGAAGUAUAUGCCACAACAACUGUAAGUACUUCAAAGAUUAUAAAAAUAUUUUUUUCUUUCUGUCUCAGAGACCAUGAACAAAAUAUUAUUUAGUAGAACUGUGACAAACUGUGAUAAUUCAUAAAUAGGUGAUAAAAAGUGUAUCAACAGUGUAUGGUGUAUGAACAGCUGUGAUUAAAUCGUCGUUACAGUGUCUGGGACCUUUGAAUCAGGUGUUUGUCUAAGUUUCCAGCUGCAAUGGGGCAGCUGGGGCACUGAGUUUUGUAGGAGUGGCUAAAUUAUUUAGGGGCUUAUUGUGUAUGUCUCUAGUCCUUGUUCAAAGUACGAAAAGAAGAAAAUGUGCAAAUGCAAAGAAAAUAACAAACGAUCUGUUGUAACACAGCCCAUAUUGGUCAUUUUAAAAGACAUCCCAGCUCAGAUAAUUCAAAUAGCACAUCAAAGUUCAGGAUGUUUUGGUCAUAACCAGAUACUAAAGGGGAUGGCCUCUACUUAUAUGUGUGUAUCAAACACACACUGUUAUUGUGUGAUGUUUUUUAAAGGUUUAUGUUAUCUUUGACAUACCCCAGUUGAAAACUUCUCCCUCUGAAUGGCAAAAUGUAACCAGGCCAAGUAUCCUCACUCAAGUGUGUGGAACAAAGUAGCUUGCUCUCUCCACUCUGAUGCAGUUUUAGUCAAGAAAACCUAUUAUACUCAUUUUCAUCUUUCAUUACAUCAGACUGGGACACCUCUAGAGUAGCUUUGCAUGAUUUACAGCUCAAAAAUCUCCUUAAUUAUCUCAUACUAGUGAUUGUGCACUUUGUUCUGGCAGCUUUUCCAGUGAUAUAAAGUUGGAUAUUGCUUGUGGGUGUUACUUUUCACGCAGCUUUGUUGUCAUGAAAUGGCCCAAAAGUUAUGCUUUUACAGAGAAUUAAAGAACUCUAUCGAUGGAACAGCCCCGGGUUUCAUUAACAAUUGAGAAGAAAAUCAAUUUGGGAAGUGUUUGUUUAUAAAGGAGUCAACAUUAUAAGGGCUGUUUUUCUCCCAUGUACUAUUAUUAAAAAGAACAUGGAUUCUAACUGCUUUUGGUGCAGUUGCCAUGAGGAAAAGAGAGUAAAAGUUACAAAAACACUUUCAGAAACUUACUGACUCUCAACAAAAAGCCAAGCAGAGGGAAAGCCGAGCAGUAAAAUGAACUUUUCAUCUUCCACGUAAGCGUGUUUUUUGCGGUGUGGACUCCUUCUUUUACACCAUCCUAACAUGAAAGCAGAGCCUAACAUCAGGUUCAGGCCAAGUCUUGCUAAGUUCUCAUAUAAAGCUGAAAAACAUGUCCAGGGAUUACACCCUCUCAUGUAAUGAAACUUUAUUAACUUUGGUACUGACAUCCAGCAUUAGGUGUCUUUUAGAAUAGCUUAAAAUAGAUGGGUGACUGCAAAUGUCUUACUGUUAAAAUAACAAUCAUUUAGUAAAGCUUUAUGGUCAUACAUCGUAAAAACAUCUCUAAUAUUAAUCCACUUUAUGGUGAAAAAAAAAAUCAAAUAUACUGUUUUCCAAUUCAAAGUCUGUCAGUAUAACAGUAUUUUAGUAUUUCAGUAUUUUAUAUCAUCUAGAUCAAAUACACAGUUAAUGACUGAACUGUGAUUGCUAGAAUCUUACCAUUAAAAAAAUACAUAACAGGAAGAACUACAGUUAAUUAGCUAAGGUUUUUUAGUCCGCAACUGUUUGUUGUGUAAAGGAAAUAAAGUCCAUUGUACAUAAAGGUGCAAUACAGAAAUAUUUAAUCAUGUGCACAUUCUCUGUUAAAAAAGUGUUUACAUAGACAGUGUUUAUUUAUGGUUGAACAGCAUGUUUUAGUUUUUCUGCAGAGCUGUCAGCCUCUCAAAGACUCAUAAGAUGAUCUUAGAGUGUCUGUGUGGUGCAGAGAGCCAAAGCUGGUA